rnacentral:rRNA from 1 species
UACGUAGGGGGCAAGCGUUAUCCGGAUUUACUGGGUGUAAAGGGAGCGUAGACGGCAUAGCAAGUCUGAAGUGAAAGCCCGUGGCUCAACCGCGGAGCUGCUUUGGAAACUGUUAAGCUGGAGUACUGGAGAGGCAAGCGGAAUUCCUAGUGUAGCGGUGAAAUGCGUAGAUAUUAGGGGGAACACCAGUGGCGAAGGCGGCUUGCUGGACAGAGACUGACGUUGAGGCUCGAAAGCGUGGGGAGCAAACAGG